UACGAAGGGGGCUAGCGUUGUUCGGAAUUACUGGGCGUAAAGCGUGCGUAGGCGGUUCUCCAAGUCCGUUGUGAAAGCCCCGGGCUUAACCUGGGAAUGGCAGUGGAAACUAGGGGACUUGAAUCUGGCAGAGGGGGGUGGAAUUCCACGUGUAGCAGUGAAAUGCGUAGAGAUGUGGAGGAACACCGAUGGCGAAGGCAGCCCCCUGGGCUGAGCAUUGACGCGUGAGGGCACGAAAGCGUGGGGA
rnacentral:rRNA from 1 species